rnacentral:rRNA from 1 species
UACGUAGGGUGCGAGCGUUAAUCGGAAUUACUGGGCGUAAAGCGUGCGCAGGCGGUUCGUUAAGACAGAUGUGAAAUCCCCGGGCUCAACCUGGGAACUGCAUUGGUGACUGGCAGGCUAGAGUAUGGCAGAGGGGGGUAGAAUUCCACGUGUAGCAGUGAAAUGCGUAGAGACGUGGAGGAAUACCGAUGGCGAAGGCAGCCCCCUGGGCCAAUACUGACGCUCAUGCACGAAAGCGUGGGGAGCAAACAGG